GGAGGGGUGGCAGAGUGGUCGAAUGCACCGGUCUUGAAAACCGGAGUGGGGGAUUCUCCACCGUGGGUUCGAAUCCCACCCCCUCCGCCA
rnacentral:tRNA from 1 species